rnacentral:snRNA from 1 species
AGCUUUGCACAGUGGCAGUAUCGUAGCCAAUGAGGUUUAUCCAAGGUACAAUUAUUGCUAAUUGAAAAUAUGCCAAGUGUC